GGCGGCAUGGCCAAGUGGUAAGGUGGGGGACUGCAAAUCCUUUAUCCCCAGUUCGAAUCUGGGUGUCGCCUGAUCAACAAA
rnacentral:tRNA from 2 species